rnacentral:lncRNA from 1 species
AGGUUUCCUCAUGCCCUUUAGUUUAAAUUUUACUCGAAACAAAGAGACAUCACAUAUUUUUCUUUAGAUAUUCAGGUUCCUGCCUUCUGCCCAAGCCCCUCCUCACCAUCCCACCUAAGGAAGGGGAGUUACAGCUGUGAUCCACUGGGGUCACAGGCAGAGAAUCUGUAUUGCUAGGUGGUACCAUUUCCUUGAGCUGUUUGAAGACUUCAGAACCCUGAAUGUCUUAGGACUGUUUAAAAUGGAAGUUGCAAAGAAGGAGUGAAGAGACCAAAAAGAAAGAAGCACAAGAGAUGCACUUAUAUUUAUAGAAUCUAAUGACACCAGCGAUGGUGUGAGUACUGAGAACUCCUAAUUAUAACUAGAGAGGCUGUUAGAAGGCUCGAAUGUUCUGAGUCUGUUUCUUCUGAGGCAAAGAGAGCUAUUGUUCACCUCUCCGAGAGUCAGCCGCUCCCAUAGGUGAGUAGGUUGUCAUUAAGUAUAGUUAAAUGACAGUUUACUAAAUGCAUUCUGCUACCUAAAGCAGUCCUGCUUUGCAGUGACCCUCUGUGUCAGCAGGGUGAGCUGUCCCACACUGAUUAAAUGGUGCUCUGGCUGG